UACCCGCUGAACUUAAGCAUAUCAAUAAGCGGAGGAAAAGAAACCAACCGGGAUUGCCUCAGUAACGGCGAGUGAAGCGGCAAGAGCUCAAAUUUGAAAUCUGGCCCCUUUGGGGUCCGAGUUGUAAUUUGCAGAGGAUGCUUCGGGUGCGGUCCCCGUCUAAGUGCCCUGGAACGGGCCGUCAUAGAGGGUGAGAAUCCCGUCUGGGAUGGGCGGCCGCGCCCGUGUGAAGCUCCUUCGACGAGUCGAGUUGUUUGGGAAUGCAGCUCUAAGCGGGUGGUAAAUUUCAUCUAAAGCUAAAUACUGGCCGGAGACCGAUAGCGCACAAGUAGAGUGAUCGAAAGAUGAAAAGCACUUUGAAAAGAGAGUUAAACAGCACGUGAAAUUGUUGAAAGGGAAGCGUUGUCCACCAGACUCGCCCGGGGGGGUUCAGCCGGCACGUGUGCCGGUGUACUCCUCUCCGGGCGGGCCAGCAUCGGUUUGGGCGGCUGGUGAAAGGCCCCGGGAAUGUGCCACCCUUCGGGGUGCCUUAUAGCCCGGGGUGCCAUACAGCCAGCCUGGACCGAGGCCCGCGCUUCGGCGAGGAUGCUGGCGUAAUGGUGGUCAACGGCCC
rnacentral:rRNA from 1 species